rnacentral:lncRNA from 1 species
AUGCAAGAUAGAAGAAAAAGAAGAAAGGGCACUAAGUCAAUGUCAACCAAAUCAAAAACUUCUACAAAGUCAUUGUCUGAGUUAUCAGCCUAUUAUGAGAAUGAAAAUGGUGCUGAGUGUAUUGGAGAAAAUAGCGAAAUUAUAGAGGAGCGAUCCUCAAGUGCUAUCUCCAUGAAAUCCAUUACCUCUGGAAAAUCAAAUAAAACAAAUGUUUCAGAGGUACUUGAAAGGAAUGGAAGAGCACCCAGUGCCAUGUCAAUAAAGUCUCAGAAAUCUGACAAAUCAAGACAAACCGAAAUCUCAGACAAUGUGUCUGAGGAACAAAUCUCUGAAGUAAGAACAUCAAGUGCCAUGUCUGUUAAAUCAGAUACAUCUGUGAGGUCAAAAGCAUUAGAUAAUGGCUUUGAUGAGCUUGCCACACUACAAGACACUGUUGAGGAAAGGGCUGUAAGUGCUGUGUCAUCUAAAUCAAAUAUUUCCACUAUGUCUAGUAGGUCUAAAGGGCCACAGUCUGUACUUGAAGGGACAUCAGAGAAGAGAAUAGAAGAGAAAGCUUCAAGUUUUAAAUCUGGAACAUCAAACAAGUCUGGAAUCAAAGAGGUGACAAAUGAUGAUCAAACAGUGGAGAGGGCUCCCAGCUCCAUUUCGAUAAAAUCAAAUAUUUCUGCAAGAUCUAAAAUGACAAUUGAGCUGAGCGAGCUUGAAGAUCAAGACAGAGCCCCCAGCAGCAUUUCUAUUAAAUCAGAUGUCUCUUAUAAAUCAAAGUCUGACAUUUCAGAAGCAGCAUCUUUCCAAGAAAGAGAUGAAUCUUUAAAUUCAGUGAAAUUAAACACACCUGAAUCUGAAGCAGCCCCUCAAGUGGAUUUUGAGGUAGACCAAGACGGAACACAGGAAAAAGAGGAUGUUCAGGAAAGAGCAUCAAGUGCUAUUUCAGUAAAGUCUACCACAUCUGCAAGAUCAAGGACAUCUGAAACAACAACAACAUUAGGAGAAGAAACAAAGGAAAGAGGUCCUAGUGUUAUGUCUGUCAAAUCAAUCAAAUCAAAUGCUUCAUUAAAAUCAAGUAAGUCCAAGAUGGAAGAGAAGGAAAUAGAAAACGGAGCCGCCAGUGCUUUGUCUGUUAAAUCUGAAGUUUCCACAUUGUUAAAAAAAUCUAAUCAGUCAGAUGUAGAGCAAAUGGAGAAAAGACCAUUAAGUGCAAUUUCAGCUAAAUUAAAUGGUUCUGUAAGAUCUAAAAGGUCAAAAAUGUCAGAAUUGGCAGGAGAUGAAGAAACCUGCAAAAGCACAGAGAAAUCACCAGACAAAGAGAAAAGAGCACCAAGCGCAUUGUCAACAAAAUCCAAUAACUCUAAUAAAUCCAAGAAAUCCAAAGUAUCUGAUAUGGCUGAUGAUAUUCUAGCUGAAGAUAGAGAUGAUUUGCGAUCUGCAAGUGCAAUGUCCUCUAAAUCUAAUGUAUCUGCAAAAUCUGUGAAAUCAGUGGUCUCAGAAUUGUUUGCAGAAGAGCUUGUAGAAGCACUGGACCAAACAGAAGAACAGGCUCAGAGUGCAUUGGCAGAACAAUCCAAUCAGUCAGGAGUGACUGUAAGUGACGAAGCUGAAGUUGCAGAGGAACGGGCGCUGAGCGCCAUGUCUUCUAAAUCCAAUGCUUCUGAAAGAUUAAAAAAGUCCAGUAAUUUAAAAGUGCCAACUUCUUUGCUUCAAGCAGCAGAACACCAAACAGAAGAGCGAGCUCAGAGUGCAUUGUCAGCUAGAUCAAGCAUUUCAACAAGAUCCAAUAAGUCUAAAAUUUCAGAUGUUUUAACUGAUAUGCAAGUUGAUGUGAAAGACCAAAAAGAAGAGAGAGCUUCAAGUGCUUUGUCUGCCAAAUCAAGCAUUUCUGCAAAGUCAAAAAACUCAAAUGUUUCUGCAACAGACAAAGAAAAAGGAGACAGAAUGCCAAGUGCUAUGUCAGGAAGAUCUGAUAUUUCUACCAAAACCACCACCACAGCAGAGCAGAUGGGAUCGAAGACCCCCACGGCAGAGCAGAUAGGAUGGAGAACCACUUCAGUGAAGCUGAGGGUGCAGGGAACCACCACGGCAGAUCAGGCUGGACUGGAAAUAAAAGCACAGAGAGGUUAACAGCAGCCUCAACAGUCUUCAGAGGACAUUCACAGUCAAUCUCCAUGGUUGUGACAGGACAGACAGAGAGUUCAUAAAUGCUUCCUCUGCCGUAGCAGAGGACUUGACGGGAGAGACUCUGGAAUGGUGGCUACGUCAUGUGAGGACUUUGGCGGGAAACUGUGUUCCUCCUCUACGAUGCCCACUAUAAAUGCAGAGUCACUCAACCGCAAAGCAAAAUCAAUAUAUUGUUCUAGACUCCAGUAUGGGGUAUGUGGUGGCAUUAACUGAGAGAUAUCUUUUGAGGCCAAAAUGGAAAAUGUCCUUGAGAGCAGUGUCACUGAAGUCCACUUGAUAACAGUUCACAGAAAUCUGCCUUGCCGAAGGCACAAUAAUGGUAGUGGUUGAGUAUUCUGUAACAAUUUAGUCCACUGAAGGCAAGUUGUGAUGAACCCAUGUGCAUUUUAUUAAACAAAAAGUGAAAUCCAAAAUACAAUGAAAGACUUGACUUGAAUUGAAUUGAAUUGAAUUGAACAGAGACAAACUCACAGACAGAGGAUUACAGGAAACAAUACUCAAUGAAAAACAAUGGCAACAUGAGGGCUACAUAUACCAAACAAUGCAGGUCACAUGACACAAUCCAACCAAUAAGAAACAAGACACAUGACUAAGACAACCAAUAACAACAUGACAACAACAUUGAACAAAGGAACCAAUAGGAGGCUCACAUGAAAGAAAAAACCAGCGUGACAUAUGCUAUUUUAAAUUAUUUAUACUGUACAUAUUUACUGAACAAAAUAAUUUUAUUUUUAUCAUUUUAUUAUUGAAAGUUUAAGUCUUUCAUACUUUUUUAAAAAUAUAUUGC